AGAGUUUGAUCCUGGCUCAGGAUGAACGCUAGCGGCAGGCCUAAUACAUGCAAGUCGAGGGGCAGCAUGGUAGCAAUACUGAUGGCGACCGGCGCACGGGUGCGUAACACGUAUGCAACCUACCUUUUACUGAGGGAUAGCCCGGAGAAAUCCGGAUUAACCCCUCAUAGUAUGUUAUGAUGGCAUCAUUAUUACAUUAAAUAUUUAUAGGUAAAAGAUGGGCAUGCGUCCAAUUAGCUAGUUGGUGGUGUAACGGACCACCAAGGCUAUGAUUGGUAGGGGUUCUGAGAGGAAGGUCCCCCACACUGGUACUGAGAUACGGACCAGACUCCUACGGGAGGCAGCAGUAGGGAAUAUUGGGCAAUGGAGGAGACUCUGACCCAGCCAUGCCGCGUGCAGGAAGAAGGCCUUCUGGGUUGUAAACUGCUUUUGAUCGGGAGCAAAAAGUCCAUGCGUGGAAUAUUGAGAGUACCGAUAGAAUAAGCACCGGCUAACUCCGUGCCAGCAGCCGCGGUAAUACGGAGGGUGCAAGCGUUGUCCGGAUUUAUUGGGUUUAAAGGGUGCGUAGGCGGCCCUGUAAGUCAGUGGUGAAAUACUUGAGCUUAACUGAAGGAUUGCCAUUGAUACUGUAGGGCUUGAGUACAGUUGAGGUAGGCGGAAUUGAUGGUGUAGCGGUGAAAUGCAUAGAUACCAUCAAGAACACCGAUUGCGAAGGCAGCUUACUAAGUUGUAACUGACGCUGAUGCACGAAAGCGUGGGGAUCGAACAGGAUUAGAUACCCCGGUAGUCC
rnacentral:rRNA from 1 species